GUGGCAAGCGUUAUCCGGAAUUAUUGGGCGUAAAGCGCGCGUAGGCGGUUUUUUAACUCUGAUGUGAAAGCCCACGGCUCAACCGUGGAGGGGCAUUGGAAACUGGAAAACUUGAGUGCGGAAAAGGAAAGUGGAAUUCCAUGUGUAGCGGAGAAAUGCGCAAAAAUAUGGAGGAACACCAGUGGCGAAGGCGACUUUCUGGACUGUAACUGACGCUGAUGUGCAAAAGCGUGGGGAUCAAACAGGAUUAAAUACCCUGGUAGUCCACGCCGUAAACAAUGACUGCUAAGUGUUAGGGGGUUUCC
rnacentral:rRNA from 1 species